GAUGAACGCUGGCGGCGUGCCUAAUACAUGCAAGUCGAGCGAACAGACGAGGAGCUUGCUCCUCUGACGUUAGCGGCGGACGGGUGAGUAACACGUGGAUAACCUACCUAUAAGACUGGGAUAACUUCGGGAAACCGGAGCUAAUACCGGAUAAUAUAUUGAACCGCAUGGUUCAAUAGUGAAAGACGGUUUUGCUGUCACUUAUAGAUGGAUCCGCGCCGCAUUAGCUAGUUGGUAAGGUAACGCCUUACCAAGGCAACGAUGCGUAGCCGACCUGAGAGAGUGAUAGGCCACACUGGAACUGAGACACGGUCCAGACUCCUGCGGGAGGCCGCAGUAGGGAAUCUUGCGAGAUGAGCGAAAGCCUGACGGAGCCACGCCGCGUGAGUGAUGAAGGUCUUCAGAUCGUAAAACUCUGUUAUUAGGGAAGAACAAAUGUGUAAGUAACUAUGCACGUCUUGACGGUACCUAAUCAGAAAGCCACGGCUAACUACGUG
rnacentral:rRNA from 1 species